UACACGGGUAUAUAUAUAUGUAUGUAUAUAUAUAUAUUGAGGUGGGAUGGGUCUUUUAUGAUAACAUCCCUUAAGACCUUAUUCUAAUAACAUCUAAGCCUUAUUCUGAUAACACCCCAAACGAACAGAAGCAACCACUCCCCACCUGCGGCCAACCCCACCUCCUGCACGACACCUACCUCCUGCCCCGAUCCAAACCCCCACCUCCCUCCACCUUCUACCACCGCUACUGCCAGACCACCUGUCUCUGUCUCGCUGCCCUGCCCCUGUCCACCUUCUGCCGCCGCUGGAGCACCGCCUAGGCCGCCACCCGCCACGCCACCCCAUCUCCUUCUACCGCCGCCCUGCCGCCGCCCCUCCCAUGCAUCGCUUCACCCCACGCACCUGUGCCUUAGUGCGCCACCACUCCUCCCGCAACCACCUGCUCGUCCUUCUUCGGUGCAGCCCCCGUGAUCCUGGCGGCGCUCCGACGACUGGCCGUGCCUCUAUGGGCCAGAUCCGGCGAGAUUUUACCAAUCCCGCACCUUCUCGAGCCAGAUCCGACGAGAUCCACUGGCUCUUCCUCUCUGGCGACGGCCAAAAUCCAGGGCCCUUGAGCCGCCUCGGGGUCCUCCUCUCCGUCCACAACCAGACGCAGGCCGGACGCGUUGUCUCCGACCUCCACCGGCAUCCACGGCCCCCGCGCGACCCCUGGACAUCAGCGCGUGAUGGCGAGCUGGUGGUUAUGCUUGCGUGAACUAUAGAUGGGAGCGGGAUCGCUCUCACGUGCCCACCAGCUUCUCUUCCAGCGAGGACAAACGGCCUCGAUCCGGCGUUUCCUCUCCUCACCGCCGUCCCCUUCUCAGUCCGUUGCCGUCCACCACGGGGAGAGGGGAGAAAAUCCCGGCAUCGCCCUGUGUCAUUCGAGCGGUGAAGGCCCCUUGCAGUUUGCGACAUGUACGAGUGCAGUACGGGAGUCGCGUUCAUGCAGCCCGCUAGCCUCCAGCAGGGGAUGCAGCUCUUCGGUGGGCGAAGUGCGGUCCAUGACGAGCGCCAAUGCAGUGUGGUGCUCUCCAAUUCUUCAGAUUUCUUUUGGGCAGUUCAAUUUGGAGCUUCCCGGUCGCCCAUAGCCCCGGUGGUGUCCCACCUCCCUACUUCCAUCCUCGGGGGCGACCCACAGCUGAGGAUGCACGGUUCCGGCCGCCCGCCCCUCCCAACGCCGAUGCGCUGGACGACAAACAGCACAACAGCAUCGAAGGUGGCGCCACACCAUCUCAAUCUUGUCCCUGCGGCACACCAUGGUCCCGUGCGUGUGUGCAGUUCGGUGUGAGCUCAAACGAAGACAUAGAUCAGUCCACUACGUUCUCUAAUGCAGAAAAAAGGAGGAAAAACCAAUUAUAAAAAAAUAAAACGCAAGACUCGUCCUCCUCCGUACGUUCAAAGUUUGAUUGAUGUCCCGUAUUAUGGGUCGUGGAGUUCGAUUGGCGCUCCCAUAGUAAAAGUUCAUAAAAAUCAUGUGUUGAGAUUUGUAGUGCAGUGCAAAGUAUAGAGGAGUUUACUUUGUAAAAAUUACUAUAGAGGAGUUCACUUUUUAUUAUUUUUGGAAGAAUUGUUUUGCAAAUUGCAUCCACACUUGUAGUGCAUUUAGCUGCCGCGUGCGGUUCACUACACUUGGCCUCGCAGUUGAGAUGAAAUUAUAAAGAGAAAAUGCUAGCAAAAAAUAGAAAUAAUGUAGUUCCCUUUGUCAACAUUGCAAUGCGGUUUAUUUUGUAGCGAGUCAAGUGGUUCACUCUGUAAAGCAAAGAUUGUUGAAAAAAAGUAUGAAGUUCACUACU